CUUUGAGCUCUAUGGACUAUGAAGAGAUUGCUAAGUUAAGUAUAAAGAAGAACAGGGUUUCAAAUUUGUCUCACAUGUCUGUUCAUUUGCAGCUUGAUAAUGGAUGGAACUAUUUGUAGUCAGUCAUAUCUUGAGCAUAUAGCUUGAUUCUGCAGAGAUAGAAAGUGUUGAAGUCGGGGAAAUUUGACAGUUGCACCCUCAAGAUUGGAUAAGCUUCCAUUUUACAGAAUUCCGAACUUAAAGCUGCACCAAUAUGUUUUCCUAUUUCCAUCGUCAUGCUGAUGUCAAAGAGAGGCUGUGAGAUACAUCCAACAAUACAGCUCAUACGUCCAAGCAGACAGAGGAUAUACACAAACGAAAUUGAAGUGUAUAUGCCACACAAGUUGAAACAGCAGGUGUGUUUCUUUGAGCACAAGCCAGUGAAAGUGAAACGGGUCCAGUUGUCUUUGCAUUAUCAGGAAAGAGACUGAUUCUCUUGCUCCCAUGCUACUUCUAAGUCACGAGUGUUCCAUGCAGGGUAAAGCAGACAGCUAGGGAAGGCCUUUUAUUCUGUAAGUCACUCGAUCACUUCUCUGUGGGGGAAAGCCAUCGUCAAUCAAUCAUCACAGUUGGGGUCCUGGGAGAAAAAAGAGGUGGCAGCAGAUGUUCGUAUUCCAGGACAGAGGGCAUCUCCCUUUUGUUUACCCCGGCCGGCAGCUCCUACCCAGCAAUUCCAAUCAGAAAUCUUUGCUUCUCCAAUCCAAGAAGCGGCACGUUGCUGCCGCUGAACAUGCCCGUCAUCCGUGAAGAAGCAUUGCUUCCGAUAAUUGCAGAGAUAAUUGCGCAGGUACAGGAGGAUGCAGGACUUGCAGUUGAGCCGGCCAAGAUAGGAGGAAUUGUAGAAUUGUGAGCUAGGAGAAUAUAUGCUAUGGAGCUCACUCCAGAUGACCCUGACUAGGUGGUAUUAUGUAGAAUUACCCACAAAAAGAAGUGUUAUCUAGAAGAGGUUGGAGAUAAUGGACGGCAGCAGCAGCAUGGCGAUUAGCAAGGCUGGCAUUAGAAGAUCACGGGUAAGGGGGAAGGCAAGUUUGACGAAUGAGCGAGAGGCAUCUUUCUUCCCGGGGUCCCCAGCAGGGCAAGGAACAUAGGUCCACCCCCUCCCUACCCCAACAAUCCACGGUGAGCAACUUACUUCCUCGCGCACUAUUCAAUUCAUCCGUUCAUUCACACUUAGUUUAUGGACGAUAUUGUUACGAUCAGCAUUAUGCAUGAGAGAGAAGAGAGAAGAAUAGAGGCGUUAAAUUUAGCUAUGCAUGGGUCCCUGCCGUCCUGGCGAUGAUGGGUACAGCCGGGAUUUGAGAGGGAUAAAAAGAAGGAGAUCAGAACAGGACGGCAUCCAUAGUACGCAGGGCGGGCCCGUUGGAAGACUACAGUGCUGCCUCUAUACCUUUCGUUUCGUUUCUAGAGAGGAGAGGAGAGGAGAGGAGAGAGGCGUAGUAGGACAAUGGGCCGUCGUGGGUAGGGGUAGCGUCCAAUCCCACGACCCAACCCAAUCCAUCCAUUACCUCCAUGUAGACGCUCAGUGGCCAUGGAUGGAGCCAACGAUUCAGCAAGCCUAGGACCACGCCGCGCGCGUGUGUGUGUGACAACCAACUCGACGCGCACUUGCGCUAGGAUACUACCUAGCUACCUAGCUGCUACAAACUUCCUAUGAACGAGCAUGAUCAUAUCACAAAUAGUUGGCAGCUGCCCUGCCCUGGGGUAGCUACCCCCGCCAGUUCCUCUCCGCCGUUUGAUUUUUCUGGUUGAAUUUCGAGGGGCCAUGGAUGACACGGGAGAAACUUUGUCAAACACUUCUGAAGCUUCAACGAUCGAUGUUGUCCGAGGCAUUUUCAUGUCUGUCGUCUGUAUACCUGCCUGGAUGCGCACUUUAUUUUACGUGCUGUGUCCGAGGCACUUUAGCCGUGUUUCGUCCCUGUCCACGGCUAGCUGGCACCCCUGCGCGUGUGUGGUAUACAUUGCUGCAGUGGCCCGUUUUGUGUUCCGUGUGUAUCCAAUAAAAUCCCAAACGCAUGGCUCUGUGGAGAGCAUGCAUGUGCGCGGCAAGAAUCUAAGGUAACAUGGCCUGCUUGGUGCGCGUAGGUUUUGCGGAGACUAUGUGUUGCUUUUCAAGUACAAAGGGACAUACAGUGAUACAGUCUACACUAUGCACGCCUGUCUACUACACACAUGCUGGGAAUAUUACGGAGAGCGUCUCGGCACGCUCUUUACCCGGCCCAGAACGCACACGACUCUGCUUAAACACAUCAUGUGGUAAUCUUGGUGGUUUGUCUCUGCUUUGCCUUGUUUAUGUGAAAAUUCUAGAUGUUUGUGAUCAUGCUCGAUCCAAUGCGCAUGGUAGCACUUUUCCCUCUCACGCACUCCAGAGGAAGCGCUCUAAUACUAAACUAUUCUGCCAACCAAAUUACCUGCAUUUGUUUUCUCUCUAAGAUAAAUGAAGGAGCAGCUAGUUAGCUAGCUAAUUUGAUCUCAGAAAGAAAAAGACAUAGCUAAUGCGUUGGACCAGUAUCUACUUUCGUAUGAAGUGGAUGCGUUUUGGAUAUACAACACAUGUCCAUUUUCUACGUGCAUACACACUUUUCCACCGAACCAGUGGCCACGUAGAAUCGCCUUUUUGAUCAGCUAAAUUGCUCAUCAAGAUUGCAAAGAUCGAUAGUAUUAUCUAGCAUUCAUAGAUAUCUAUUACUACCUUCCUAGUGUAGUCCAACUGGCACAAAGGAAUCCUUUCUCUCAGAUUAAGAAGGCAGAUUAAGAAGGUAAUUAAGGACGAGCUCCAUGCAUGCUCUCUCUCUCGUCGUCCUUUUCUUGGCAAAGAAAUGGACUCUAUGAAUUUGCUUUCAUGCGAUCGACAUCACUUUCUCCACCCUAGUAUAUCCAUGUAGCUCGAAAGUUGUCCGCGUCUUAAUUUUAUUCGUCCCUUUCCAUCUUCUCUCUUAGCACUCGGACGAGGAUGAGCUACAUUACUCAUUUCUAGGGCCACAAGAUAGUUUCCUUCCGCGCUUAUUCUCGUCCCGCUCCUCUGUCGUCUCCUCCACGCGACGGGGGAGCGAACCCUAGAUCCCCGCCGCCACCUCCCCCGCCCCCUGCCCGCCUCCUCGU